rnacentral:ncRNA from 1 species
UAGCCCUUCGUGUCAGUCUAGGCGUCUCAAGUCCACCUGAUUGUGGCUCAAGCCCAGAGAGGGUGUAAGGCCCGUAGAGACGCUCCGACUGAUUCCUGGGGUUUACCUACGAGUCGGCUUGUUUGGGAAUGCAGGCCAAAGCGGGUGGUAAACUCCAUCCAAGGCUAAAUACUGGCACGAGUCGAGUCGAUAGCGGACAAGUACCGUGAGGGAAAGUUGAAAAAGAACUUUGAAGAGAGAGUUCAAUAGUACGUGAAACCGCUUAGAGGCAAACGGAUGGUGCUCAUACUGGCCUGAGGAAUUCAACUGUGACGGUGGCUGGACGAGCUGGCGUUCCGAUCUCUCUUUUGGGACGGGCGUCGGUUUGGCUAUCAGCUCCGACAUGGUGCACUUUCCUUGGUGCCUCCGCCCACGACCGACGACACUGGCUACCCGCGGCUGGGGUAAGGUGACAAACUGCUUCGGCAAUUUGUGUUAUAGACCCCGGCGUCGGACAUGGUUUGGCCAGGACGUCGAGCUUGCGGCGCCCGCUCCUUGUGGGCUCGCAUGUUGGCUAGCUUGGCUGCGCCGAUGCUUGCACUGGACAACCAGUACAGGUGACGGUUGUGGUCUUGUCUCUAGUUGGCCUCUGCGAGUUUGGCGCCUAUAGUCUGUGGUGUACUUGUGGGUAGACUAUCCGACCCGUCUUGAAACACGGACCAAGGAGUCUAACAUGUGCGCGAGUCAUGGGGAUUCUACGAAACCCAAAGGCGCAGUGAAAGUAAAGGCCUGCUUCUCGUAGGCUGAGGUGGGAUCUCGUGCAUCGCGAUUGGCGAGCGCACCACCGGCCCGUCCUAUCUGUCUCUGUCAGUGGGGCGGCGCAAGAGCGUACACGUUGGGACCCGAAAGAUGGUGAACUAUGCUUGCGCAGCUCGAAGUCAGUGGAAACACUGAUGGAGGAGCGCAGCGUUUCUGACGUGCAAAUCGAUCGUCAAACGUGAGUAUAGGGGCGAAAGACUAAUCGAACCAUCUAGUAGCUGGUUCCCUCCGAAGUUUCCCUCAGGAUAGCUGGCACUCGGGAAACAGUUUUAUCCGGUAAAGCGAAUGAUUAGAGGCAUUGGGGUCGAAACGACCUCGACCUAUUCUCAAACUUUAAAUGGGUAAGAUGCUCGUCUCGCUUAAUUGGAGGCGGGCUUCACCUCUCUAUAAAACGUGAAUGUGAGUGCCCAGUGGGCCAUUUUUGGUAAGCAGAACUGGCGCUGUGGGAUGAACCAAACGCGCGGUUAAGGCGCCCAAUGCGGACGCUCAUGAGACACCACAAAAGGUGUUGGUCGAUACUGACAGCAGGACGGUGGCCAUGGAAGUCGGAACCCGCUAAGGAGUGUGUAACAACUCACCUGCCGAAUCAACCAGCCCUGAAAAUGGAUGGCGCUGGAGCGUCGGGCCUAUACCGUGCCGUUGGGGCGAAGCAGACAAAUAAUCUGUGUGGAUGUCCCAACGAGUAGGAGGGUCGCCGUGGUGAGCGCAGAAGGUGCGGCCGUGAGGCCGGCUGGAGCCGCCACGGGCGCAGAUCUUGGUGGUAGUAGCAAUUACUCAAGUGAGAACCUUGAGGACUGAAGUGGAGAAGGGUUCCAUGUGAACAGCAGUUGAACAUGGGUCAGGCGGUCCUAAGCGAUCGGGUAACUCCGUACCUAGACGAGGGUGACAACUAUCACUGAUAAUACUUGUGAAGUGUUAUAGCCCUCCGGAGCGAAAGGGAAUCGUGUUAAUAUUCACGACCCUUACCGUGGAGAUCGCCCCUUUCGGGGGGCAAGCAAGUGCGGUAACGCAAACGAACACAGAGACGUCGGCUGGAGCCCCGGGAAGAGUUCUCUUUUCUUUGUAAGGAGCGUACCCCCUGGAAUCGGCUUGUCCGGAGAUAGGGGCGUGGCUUCCGUAAAGCAGCGCGGGUCUUGCGCUGUCCGGUGCACUCUAGUCGGCCCUUGAAAAUCUGUGGGAGACAGUGUGAUUUUCACGGUAGGCCGUACCCAUAUCCGCAGCAGGUCUCCAAGGUGAACAGCCUCUAGUCCUAGAACAAUGUAGGUAAGGGAAGUCGGCAAAAUGGAUCCGUAACUUCGGGAAAAGGAUUGGCUCUGAGGGCUGGGUCGGAUGGGCUGGCGUAAGAAGCUGUUCCGGUUUUGGUGAGGACUGGGCGAGGCUUUCGGGCUUUACUCGGACCAUGCCGAGACCAGGCAGUAGACGACGUCAGCUGUGCUUGUCGUGUUUCGGCGCGGCAGCUUCGUCCGGCAACAAACAGCCAACUCAGAACUGGCACGGACUAGGGGAAUCCGACUGUCUAAUUAAAACAAAGCAUUGCGAUGGCUGUUGCUCGGUGUUGACGCAAUGUGAUUUCUGCCCAGUGCUCUGAAUGUCAAAGUGAAGAAAUUCAAUCAAGCGCGGGUAAACGGCGGGAGUGACUACGACUCUCUUAGACGGGCCGCUUGAUGAUGGUGUGCUGGACUGAGAGACAAACCUGAGCGUGGCGUGGGCAGACCAGCCUGCUGUUACUUGGUGGACAUGCAGGUUAGGCCACUGCCACCUCGAGAUGGUGAAACUAUGCUAUGU